UAUAAAGAGAAAUUUUAAACAGUCCCUUGUUGGCGCCAUGUUACUGGAACUCCCAGAGGGUGAUUCUUAUUUGAAUGUCCUUCAAAAGGUUGUGGAAAAUGGAAAUCCCCUUGAACGAAAUAUUUGGAAGGAUAUAGUUUUCCUGAUACCGUUUGUGCUUAGCUGUUAGAUAUUUUGAGCAUUAAGCUUUGCCAAUUUUGUAAGGAGGUAUAUCACGAUGGUGGAAAUGUGCCGGGGAAUAGAGAUCAGUUAAUAACCAUGUUACUUCCACUAGUGGAACAUGUGCUGAAUGUCUUCCAAAGCCAUUUUCAGUAUAGCUCUUUGGCAUCUGAUCCCCCUCGUUCUUUGAAGACAAUUACAAAUGGUGCCAACUGUGGCCCGGUACAAGACAUAUCUUUGUAAUCUUAUUUAGACUUUAGAAAGACUGAGUUACUUAGUGAGGUCUACUAAGUAUUAUCUUUGUAAUUUAUUUACUAAUGCAUAUUUAGCCUA